rnacentral:rRNA from 1 species
UAAACAUUGAUAACACCCCACACCUGUUAUCCGCCUGGGAACUACAAGCACCAGCUUAAAACCCAAAGGACUUGGCGGUGCUUAAAAUCCACCUAGAGGAGCCUGUUCUAGAACCGAUAACCCCCGUUCAACCUCACCCUCCCUUGUUUUCCCCGCCUAUAUACCGCCGUCGUCAGCCUACCCCGUGAGGGUAUUAUAGUAAGCUUAAUUGGCACAGCCCAAAACGUCAGGUCGAGGUGUAGCGUAUGAGAGGGAAAGAAAUGGGCUACAUUCCCUAAAAUAGUGAACACGAAUGAUGUGCUGAAAUGAACAUCUAAAGGAGGAUUUAGCAGUAAAUAGAAAACAGAGCGUUCUACUGAAAUAGGCCCUAAAGCGCGCACACACCGCCCGUCACUCUCCCCAAGCCCCAUGAAACCUAAUAAAUAAUACAUUAAAACUGCAAAGGGGAGGCAAGUCGUAACAUGGUAAGUGUACCGGAAGGUGCACUUGGAAAAAU